CCGGCACGGGUGAGUAACACGUAUCCAACCUGCCGUCUACUCUUGGACAGCCUUCUGAAAGGAAGAUUAAUACAAGAUGGCAUCAUGAGUUCACAUGUUCACAUGAUUAAAGGUAUUCCGGUAGACGAUGGGGAUACGUUCCAUUAGAUAGUAGGCGGGGUAACGGCCCACCUAGUCUUCGAUGGAUAGGGGUUCUGAGAGGAAGGUCCCCCACAUUGGAACUGAGACACGGUCCAA
rnacentral:rRNA from 1 species